GAGAUGUUAGUAUACGCCUCGGAGUGAUGCUUCCUCUCACUCUAGGAUCUCUGCAGCCGCCCUCUCAGCUGACACGUCGGAGCAGAUUCUCUGCCUGGAAACAUCGGAAACUGAUCGGAACCGCCGUCAGACAGAGACACGGACCUCCCCGGAUCCCCAGGCGCCGAUUAGGUUUGAAAAUUGAUGAUGGGAGGAGGUCAGAGUCAUGAGAAGGAGGAUGAGGAGCGAAGAGGAGGAGCUGAAGAACAUAAGAAGCCUGAGGAUGCUGAAUCUGCUGAAGAGUCGUCAGGUGAGCUGCCUCAGUGCAGGAUCGGAAACAGGGUGGUGGACAACAUGUGCUUCAUGAUCUCGUGCACCAACUGGUAUUGAACUGGUGCAGACUGGGACUACUGGAGGAAGAUGGGUGAAACAUUCCAGAAGCAAACCUUCAGGAAGUUUGGUCUUUAGUUCCCAGGUUUAAUCAUAAAUCUGUUGAAAAACCAUCCAGGCUUUGUUUAUGGCUUCAAAUCUGUUAGUUUACUGCAGGAAGAGCAGAAAGGUUGCAUGAUGAGGUCAGAACCUGAGGUUCUGUUGGAUAGAGGAGGAUUCAUGGAGUCACCUUCUUAUUAUCUAUCUAAAAUUAAUCUGAUUACCUUCAUCGCUGCAUCAGGCUUGAUCCUGCAAAAGCUGAAAUCAGAAUUUGUACAUUUGUAGCAGCGCUCUAAUGGCUGAAGGUAGAAACAUGGCUGCUGCUGUUAAGUUUUCUUUUUUUUUGAAUCAAUGAUCAGGAGAAGUUUUGGUCAAGUCAGAGUUCUUCAUCCGUGCUUCCACUGAAAUGCUUCAGUUUCUCUGCAGCUUCAGCAGAAAAGAUGCAACAGCUGGUGAUGUGGAGCUGAUUCCUCUGGAUUUAAACUGAUGCUCUGAUGAUAAAGAUUAAAAUGAAAAGAUAAUGGAUUUCUGAGGUUGUUUUAGAGUGUUUCACAUUGGAUCAAUAAAUUCUUUGCAUUAGAAAAUCUAUGAAUAAAAAUACAAAUAAAAGAAUUGAAAAGCUU